AUCUUCGGGGCAGGGUGUAAAUCCCUACCGGCAGUACAGCCUGCGAACUCCUGUUAUCGGGAGCCGAUGCGGUGGAAUUCCGCAGCCGACAGUUAAAGUCUGGAUGAAAGAAGAA
rnacentral:ncRNA from 1 species